rnacentral:rRNA from 1 species
GUGGGGAAUCUUCCGCAAUGGGCGAAAGCCUGACGGAGCAACGCCGCGUGAGUGAAGAAGGCCUUCGGGUCGUAAAGCUCUGUUGUUCGGGACGAAUGGCAGUACGAAGAACAAGCGUACUGCAUGACGGUACCGGACGAGGAAGCCACGGCUAACUACGUGCCAGCAGCCGCGGUAAUACGUAGGUGGCAAGCGUUGUCCGGAAUUAUUGGGCGUAAAGGGAGCGCAGGUGGGAAAGUAAGUCUGUCUUAAAAGUGCGGGGCUCAACCCCGUGAGGGGAUAGAAACUACAUUUCUUGAGUGCAGGAGAGGAAAGCGGAAUUCCUAGUGUAGCGGUGAAAUGCGUAGAUAUUAGGAGGAACACCAGUGGCGAAGGCGGCUUUCUGGACUGUAACUGACACUGAGGCUCGAAAGCCAGGGGAGCGAACGGGAUUAGAUACCCCGGUAGUCC